GCAAACUUGGUCAUUUAGAGGAAGUAAAAGUCGUAACAAGGUUUCCGUAGGUGAACCUGCGGAAGGAUCAUUAUCGAGUUUUGAAUCGGGCUGUCGCUGGUCCUUUCACUUUGGACAUGUGCACGUCUGACUCAUCCACCUCUCACACCUUUGUGCACCUUUUGUAGGCGUGGUGUUCUGAAAGGCCAGCCCUCCGUGUCGGCUUUUCGAGACCUUGCCUAUGUUUCUCUCGCAAACGCUUCAGUGACAGAAUGUAACUAUUUCGUGAAAUGAAACUAUGUACAACUUUCAGCAACGGAUCUCUUGGCUCUCGCAUCGAUGAAGAACGCAGC
rnacentral:misc_RNA from 1 species